AUGGGGGAAAGAUUUAUCGCCAUGAGAUGUGCCCGCGUUAGAUUAGCUAGUUGGUAAGGUAAUGGCUUACCAAGGCGACGAUCUAUAGCUGGUCUGAGAGGAUGAUCAGCCACACUGGGACUGAGACACGGCCCAGACUCCUACGGGAGGCAGCAGUGGGGAAUAUUGGACAAUGGGGGCAACCCUGAUCCAGCCAUGCCGCGUGUGUGAUGACGGCCUUAGGGUUGUAAAGCACUUUCAGCAGUGAAGAUAANGACAUUAACUGCAGAAGAAGCCCCGGCUAANUUNNUGCCAGCAGCCGCGGUAAUACGAAGGGGGCUAGCGUUGUUCGGAAUCACUGGGCGUAAAGAGUACGUAGGCGGACUGAUAAGUUAGGGGUGAAAUCCCAAGGCUCAACCUUGGAACUGCCUUUGAUACUGUCAGUCUUGAGAUCGAGAGANGUGAGUGGAACUCCGAGUGUAGAGGUGAAAUUCGUAGAUAUUCGGAAGAACACCAGUGGCGAAGGCGGCUCACUGGCUCGAUACUGACGCUGAGGUACNAAAGCGUGNGGAGCAAACAGGAUUAGAUACCCUGGUAGUCNACGCCGUANACGANGAAUGCUANUUGUCA
rnacentral:rRNA from 1 species